UGGCCAGCCGCUAUGUCUGCACCCCCACCAGCCGGCAGCAGUGGCUUGGAAAAACGCUGGCGGAGGUGUCUUAGGCGGCCCCUGGAAAGAAGGCUGCGGGCCACAAGCAGGGCAGGAGCCCUAUCGUCCUGACUUCAGCGGCUCCCUGAAGCGGUUUUCCUAUUCCGGUCCUCUGAAGGGGAAGGAAGCUUCAGAAAACGAGGAACUCUUUCCUGCCAUCCAAGAGCCAAUAAAAGAAAACAGGAUAAGGAUAUAACGGAAAUAAUUUUCAGAAAGAAAUCUUCUCAAAGACGGAGAUUUCCCAUAUUGGUUGGUCGGGUCUCGAAAAUGCAUUCUCGAAAUUUUCUUUGCGCUGGUCUUCGAAGCGCCU